rfam:Oryza rufipogon genomic scaffold, chr03
UAAAACAUCAACUCCCUCCGUGUCCAACUUUGACUGUCCGUCUUAUAUGAAAUUUUUUUAUAAUUUGUAUUUUCAUUGUUGUUAAAUGAUAAAACAUGAUUAAUAUUUUAUACGUGACUUGUCUUUUUAAUUUUUUUCAUAAUUUUUUCAAAUAAGACGGACAGUCAAACGUUGGGUACGGAAACCAGGGUUUGUCUUUUU